rnacentral:rRNA from 1 species
AGUGAACGCUGGCGGUAGGCCUAACACAUGCAAGUCGAACGGCAGCACAGUAAGAGCUUGCUCUUACGGGUGGCGAGUGGCGGACGGGUGAGGAAUACAUCGGAAUCUACUUUUUCGUGGGGGAUAACGUAGGGAAACUUACGCUAAUACCGCAUACGACCUACGGGUGAAAGCAGGGGAUCUUCGGACUUUGCGCGAUUGAAUGAGCCGAUGUCGGAUUAGCUAGUUGGCGGGGUAAAGGCCCACCAAGGCGACGAACCGUAGCCGGUCUGAGAGGAUGAUCAGCCACACUGGAACUGAGACACGGUCCAGACUCCUACGGGAGGCAGCAGUGGGGAAUAUUGGACAAAGGGCGCAAGCCUGAUCCAGCCAUACCGCGUGGGUGAAGAAGGCCUUCGGGUUGUAAAGCCCUUUUGUUGGGAAAGAAAAGCAGCAGGUUAAUACCCCGCUGUUCUGACGGUACCCAAAGAAUAAGCACCGGCUAACUUCGUG